UACGAAGGGGGCUAGCGUUGUUCGGAAUUACUGGGCGUAAAGCGCACGUAGGCGGCUUUGUAAGUAGAGGUGAAAGCCCGGAGCUCAACUCUGGAAUUGCCUUUAAGACUGCAUCGCUUGAAUCAUGGAGAGGUCAGUGGAAUUCCGAGUGUAGAGGUGAAAUUCGUAGAUAUUCGGAAGAACACCAGUGGCGAAGGCGACUGACUGGACAUGUAUUGACGCUGAGGUGCGAAAGCGUGGGGAGCAAACAGG
rnacentral:rRNA from 1 species